AGACAAGACAAGAGCCAAAAGGAAGUUAGCACCUCAAAAAAUUCCUCCAGAUCACAGCAUUGAAUUAGUGGAUCUAAUGAAGCGUCAAAAUUGGUAGUGGCCAGUUGCAGUAAUCAUGCAGAAUACGGAGAUAUACAAUUUUGAUCUCUACCAGAUGAAUUGGACAUCUUGGAAAUCUUUUGCCCUGAGUUGCAAGCAGCAAAUUGUGCUGUGGAAAUGA
rnacentral:lncRNA from 1 species